CCGCGCGAGAGGGAAGGAUCGGCACGAAUAUUCUAAGCAUAUGCCAUAGUAGUAGGUAGAACCCUAGCUAGCAAACCAAGACGGGGUCUCCGAUCUCGCGCAAUUCCCCUUGUAUCCCGCAAAUUACUCUUGAUUUAUGCUGGAAAAUACUCAAAUUCGUGAUGAUCCUGUCGACGAGUUGAUUUGAUCCUCACAGAGGCCGCGUAUGGCGGCAGGGAGUUCCUGUUCGACUUCCGGUGGAUGGUGCGCAUCUACGCUGGCACCACCGAGGAGGUCGCCAUGGGCUGGAUUGAUGACUGCAGGACCUGCUUCUUCCCUGUGCCAGAGAGCGGGAGGAAGAGGAAGAGGGGCGAGCCUGAGCUGGAGGAUGGGGCGUCAUUCGGGGUGGAUGAGAGGUCCGACGAGAACAGCGACACGGUGGAGUCCUCAAUCUAGCCUAAUCUCCUGCCUCUCUCAAGCACUCCCCGUGUAGCAGGCCUGGUGUGUAGACUGCCAUGGCAAGGCUACAUCCAUUCAUUAUGGUCAGCAAGGCGGCCAGCUUGGGGCAAGGCAGUGAGGCUGGAGGAGACGGACAAGUUCUACUAGGUUGUUACUUGUCAAGAAGCUCUUCCUCAGAGGGAUAGCACCGGGUGGGAGGCGGCGUGGCGAUCACGGCGAUGCACAAGGUCUUGCAGGGUCCCCGGUCCAGGGCGUUCCAGAUGCAGGGCCAGCUCCUAGCCGCUGCGCGCGGCGCCGACGAGGGCAAUGCCAAGUUCGCGUGGUAUGGCGCUCCGUCGGCGGAUGUGGCCGCGGCAGUGGAGCAUGGGUUCGGCAGGAUGAACAGCCAGGUCCUUUGCCAUCGCGCGCACGGCGAUGACGUCCACCUCUCGCCUGGUUCUUGAUUGUUGAGUAAUUCCUGUUAGUUGUUGCUGAAUUAGGGACUUGAUUCAUGUUGGUUGCUGAAUUGAUUUAUGUCUUAUGUAUACUUGAUUCCGUAGAUUAAUAUCUCUUUUGGUUGGCAAGAAUGGAUCAGACGUAUUUUUGUUUGAAGUUAAGAUUUUUCUUCGCGGGCUAGCGCAAAUCUUCUGCAGGACUACCUCCCCUCUGCAAACCAAUUGAUAUCAAAUAGUGGGACUGAAUUAUUGAUAAUAUUCAGAACUCUAGAAUGGAUAUUUGUACAUUUCAUCGUCUUCAGUAAUACAUAAUAAUGAUUGUUGAUGCCACCAACCCCAACUUGUGAUAAUGAUAUUGAAUUGUUUUAAUUUGGUUGUGUACUCAAAUUUGAAAGCAUUCUACUUUAUUUAUGUCCUGUACAGAUGUACCUGCAGCAUAACUAUUUGAGAUAUGCCACUACAGUAUUAUCAGUCCUUUCAUGUCUUUGAAACGGGGCUUUACAUUCUGUGUGUUCUUAUUGUACAUCAACAACAAGAGCAGAGGAAGGCUACUGAUGCAUUUGAGUUCUAUUCUUAUUUCAAAGAAAGUCAUCAAGUUGAUGCAUGUGAGUUCUUGGAUCUAAAGCAUAAUACAAUGAAAGGUAAUUUUUUAUGAAUAGGAAGAUUGACUAAGGGAGGAUUAUGUAUUGAGAGAAAUCCUCACCUUGAAGAAUGAAACAAAUGGUAAUCAAAGAUGUUCUUUCUACCAAAGAACCAGGCUGUGCCGAGGUAGUGGUGUGGUUCCGAUGAUGGUGGCGAGGCUAAAAUAAGGGAGAUGACUUGGAGUUAUUUUAAGCAUGAGUUGUGUACUGGUGUGGUUCCUUAACUCAUCCCUUUCAGAUCUUACCCCUAUGUUAUCGAUCACCUAUUUAUUUUGUGUUUACUGAUACAGAAUUUAGUACACUAUUUUUUGCCACUAAUGACCAAUCUACAAAAUAAAGCAAACUACAGUAUCAGCUACAAGGUACUAUAUGCAGUCUGAUUUAUCGAUCAUUCGACUGCUUCACAAAGGAAAAGUGCUAAAUGCCAAGUGACAAGAUCAAUAGUAGAGUAAAGGGAUGGAAGGAAAAAUAAGUGUCUCCAGUUUCCUUGGUGGUGUGUGCAAACUGUGAAGGUUCUGUUGUGAUGAAUAAUGGAGCGUAGGCAGUGAGCUAACCAGAUGGACAACUGGCUGGAGGUACCGAGGUGGUAACUAAACCAUGCAUCAUGGCACAAUGUAUUUUACUUUCUAAUCAUCUCAUUUUCUAACUGAACCUGAGAUUCAAAAUGAAUAUAAGCUAUAAUAGUGGAGCUAGCAGGCCUCAUCAACUCGGACGUCUGGCUGCUGCCCAUGGUCUCGCGUGCUCAUGGCAGAGCUACUUGACGUCGCGGACAUACUCAUGUGGACGACCCAUUUGAUCUGUCCUCUUUGGACUACAUAUAUGUUGUAUAGAGGUGUUAUGUUUGGUGUUCUUUUAGGGUCUUUAAAUUUAUCAUGUCAACGGUCAAAUUGUUCUUCCCCGCAUAAAAAGAAGAGGUCAAAUUGUUCAAAUGUGGCAGCAAGUUCUGGGUAGCUAGCAAACACUUCUCGGUUUUUGUGUCUGAUAUUCAUAUAGGUGCCAAGUUGUCUGACGGUCAAUGAAUUACCUCUUGUGGUUCCUGUGUUUAAGAUCUAGAAAUAGAUGGCAAGUUAUUUUUUAUGACAUUUAUUACUCGCCAAUAAAUCAUGUGUCUUUAUAGUUUUUAUUGCCUUGUUACUAAAAAGGUCUAACUGAUGUGCAUAAGGAUCAUAAGACAUAAUUGUAUAUUCACCAAGAUCAUAAUUUUAUAUUUUGUUCACCAAAAUCUUAAUUUUAUAUAUUCUUUUCAUAAAACCAUCAGAUGAUUCUCCAUGAUUUAUAUUAACAUACCGGCUAGCAGCUAGAUAAUCGGUUCAAGCUGAGAUUAGCUUAGCUAGCUGUAUUCAACCCACAGUCCAAUUUCAAGUGGAUCUGACAAAACGUUUCGUUUCUGCACAAAACUCCCUGUUGUUUGGUAUAUUCAACCCGCGGUCCUUUUUAUAGUGGCUGGGCACAUGGAUCCAUCCUCCUCCGCGCACCGGCGGGGGCGGUCGUCGUCGGCUCCGCCAAGCGCAUGCUCGCCCUUGACAUGGCAAUGAGAGAGGCGGAGCGGCCGGCGGGCGGGACAGCCCCACGGACCACGCCGAGCCGAGCACCGCAGCCGAUAGGGAUCCGGGCGCCAAAAGGAGGCGCGGCAGCGGCAGCGGUGACGAUGCGCACGUCGUGGUCCAAAGGCCGGAGAAGCGCCGGAUCCUCGCGUGGAGGGUGCGCCAGUACCGGUCCCUGGUGGCCGAGGCCAAGGCGGCGGCGAGGUAGGGCCAGAAUCCGGACGGUGAGGAAGAGGACGGCCGCUUGGAAGAGCGUCCAACGGCAAUUCGCGCGCGCCUCUGCGAUGGCCUGCACAAAUGAAGCCCCGGCGGCGGCGGAGGAGCUGCUUAGCAAUAUUAAAGAUCCGCUGGUAAUUAAAUCAACUCAAUCCUCAUGCUAAUUAGGGAAUAGGAUUAGCACCCUAGCAUUUUGUUUUCCUACUCGAUUAGACAGUGCUCCUUGAUCUGAAUGACAGGGGAGCUCAGCUCAAUUAGGUUGGCUUUUGUGAUGUUAUCCAAUUGCGUGUAGAAAUCCCAUCUUUAUGCUCUGAAAAACUUACUACUGACACUCUGAAAGACAGCAGUAUAUAUUAGUGUUCUUAGAUUAUUGCGCACUUGAGCAUUUGUGCUCUAAGUUGAUUUACCAGAUGACAGCAUCAGUCUCGGCUGAUUUUGCAGCUUCAUUCAUGCCUUCCACUGGGCAUUGAUCUGUCUCCAGUCUCCACUGCAUUUCACUAGCAGUAGUUUUCGCCUUGUGAGGUCUGAGCUAUCAAAUAUUCAAAUGCCUUAACUUUUCUAGCUAAUCCAAUAGCCUAGGAGUAUCACCAUGUUUACACAUUUAGAAGAUUUUUGCAGUUAGACGAUUCCGAGAGAGCAAAGAGUGAGUUGAGAGGGAUGGAGAGAGCACAGAAGGGAAGGAGAAAGGAAUAGGGAGGCGCGGCGGUGGUUGGUUCUCCGGCGGCACUGGAUCGGGCACGGGCGCAGAGCUCCUGCUCGGGGACGCGAAGAUCCAGGGAGGCACUCUCCCAUUCAGUUACCCUUACUAUCGGUUCCUAGGUGCAGCCCCGGCCGCCAUCGCCUGAACGGCGCUGACGCGUGCUUCUCCCCAGAGAGGGCCAUGCCACUGCAGAUGAAACUGAAUCCACUUCCGAGCCGGCGGACAUGACAUGGUUGGUUUCACGGGAUUGACUCGGCUACCUACAGAAGUGCCACCAAUCUGAACCAAGCUGUUGCGUCAAGGCAUGUAGGUUGAUUCAUAUGAUUCUUCAGCGGCAGCAAGUUUUCCAUGUACAUUCCUUCCUAUAAGCGACGGGCGCGACACACACCUCCAACCAACGCUUUCCCCGGUGAUCCCCGGCCACGAGCAUGUCUAUCCCCUACAAGCCGCUACCAGUGCUCCCUCUCCGCUGGAUGCGGCAAGGUCGUGCGAGUGUUCUGUAGCUCGGCGCUGCACCAUGGGCACAGGAUCGUCGCCCUCAUGGCCACAGCCGCAAACUUCGUGUCUGGCCUGCUUAUCCUCACCACUUUCAGAAUCGGAGGCAGUGCAUGACUGGUGACCAGUGUCCGACUUUGAUCGUCGACGCUGAUGAUGGAUUCAAGCACUCAACCAUAUUCUUGGUACAGCACCACUGGGGACUUAGCAAAACUGCUUUUUAGCCAUUAACAUCCAAGUCCUAGAUAUUGUUAUGGCAUAAAUUUUGACGGUUAGGAUUUUAACAAGGUGCAGAGCUGUGUAGGUUGAGACGACAGAGAUAAUAGUAUGCUAAAUGUGUAGACAUAGUUUGACAAUUUUGCUGAAAGAUAGUACUCCCUUUAGUAAAAAAGAUGUCCUGAAUAAGCUCUAAUAUGACAUCAUGAUUGUUACCAGUUGUUCCGAAGAACAAGUGCUACAUCAUCAGGAUUCACACCUCGUCAGAUCCAAGAUCUUUGAUUUCCUGUUGUUUGGAAGGGAUCCAUUAGUUGCCGCCACUGUUCAAGUUAGAUGUAACACAAUAUGUAAAGCUCCAUUAUUGCGAUUCAAAGACUCCAUCAUGGAGUAUUUUUUGUUGUAGCUUCUAGGUUAAUUUUUUAUGUGGUCGGCAUAACACCUAAUUCAUAAUGAAGUAAUUUUAAAUAAGUUAUAAGGUUUAAGAGAAAUCUUAUACCAAUAAAGAAAA